AACAUCCAGAUUCCUUAUCCAUCCAACUUAAAUACUGGUCUCAGUGGUUAUCAAAGGAGGAAGCAUAACAUUGAAACAGACUCAAAAUCUUUUGUGACUCAUAAGC
rnacentral:snoRNA from 1 species